CAUGCAAGUCGAACGGAAAGGCCCUUCGGGGUGCUCGAGUGGCGAACGGGUGAGUAACACGUGGGUGAUCUGCCCUGCACUUUGGGAUAAGCCUGGGAAACUGGGUCUAAUACCGGAUAGGACUACGCACUGCAUGGUGUGUGGUGGAAAGCGUUUGCGGUGUGGGAUGGGCCCGCGGCCUAUCAGUUUGUUGGUGGGGUGAUGGCCUACCAAGGCGACGACGGGUAGCCGGCCUGAGAGGGUGUCCGGCCACACUGGGACUGAGAUACGGCCCAGACUCCUACGGGAGGCAGCAGUGGGGAAUAUUGCACAAUGGGCGCAAGCCUGAUGCAGCGACGCCGCGUGAGGGAUGACGGCCUUCGGGUUGUAAACCUCUUUCAGUAGGGACGAAGCGCAAGUGACGGUACCUAUAGAAGAAGGACCGGCCAACUACGUGCCAGCAGCCGCGGUAAUACGUAGGGUCCGAGCGUUGUCCGGAAUUACUGGGCGUAAAGAGCUCGUAGGUGGUUUGUCGCGUUGUUCGUGAAAACUCACA
rnacentral:rRNA from 1 species